AAAAAAGAAAAUUAACAAUAAAAAUCAAAGUAUAUUAAAACGGCUGUGCAUAUAGAUAUAGUCUACAAUAAAGGAAAAAAAAACAAUGGACAAUUUCUUAGAAACUAUUUCGUACAGCCGGGAUUAAACUCCACCUACUUUUUAUAAUUAAUAAAAUAUUAAAAUUAUUAAUAUAUUAAUAAUCAAGGACUAUCGAGGAUUGAUUGACGAGUAUCACUCAUCAACUAUCAAGUGAUAACUUUAAUUAUUAAGUAUUUCUAAUCUGUGUAGGCUCCUAAUAUUAUUUAUUGCGUUUUUGAUUUACUAUUCAUUCUAUGUUACAUGGUCUAGACACCCUUCUCAGUUCAUGCCUUGGAUACAUUUUCUGUUUGAUCCACAUAAUACUAGAUUCUCGACUUGGAGACCAUACUAGCCAGAUUGAGAGUUUUCGGCCCACCAAGAUUUUAAAUUUCUAUCGAAGAAAUCACCUAUGGUCCAAAAAAAUUUUUUCUUUUUUCUUUAUCCACAACAAGCGCAGUCUUAUCUACUUUUUAAAUUCAAUUAUUGCAAAUACGUUCCUAAGUGAGUAUAUUGCACAAUUUGCACAAAAUAAAAAAUAUUAUAAUACGUACCUAUAUUACCUAUACUAGUAUAGUCGUAUAUUAGUAUAUAUUUAGUACGGCGAACAAAAUAUUUUAAUGUAAGGACGCACUAAACCACAGUAAACAUAAAAACACGUAACCUUUUUGAUUCAGGACUGUGUAGUCGAUGUAGAAAAAACUAAAUUAUCAAGUUAUUUCAAAUAAGUCAAUAAGUAAUAAUAAUGUGAAAUGUAAACUUGUGUGCUGUGUGUCACGUAGUAUGUGUGAGUUCCAUUAAUUGUUGCCCGUUGGACGAUAUUGCGAUAAUAGUGGGAAAACCCAUACAAUAAUUGAAUAAUAAUUACGGUCAAUUGGAAUUAUAUUUAUUUUUAUAAACAUGCAGGCAGGACGCAGCACACAACUAUUAUUCACUUGGUACAUACUGCAACGCUAGGCUUUACUGCUCUAGCGUGUAUUAUCGAUUGACAAUUCUUGAGAAUUAAAUAACCAAUACAGUAUACACUAUCAGUAUUAUACAGCAGACGCAUUUAUUGUUUUAACCGUGUAUUUGGAUCUACAUUUUAUUAUAUCACUAUCUAAAAAUACUAGACUACUUUUGUCCAAAAAUAAUAACGGCCCAAAUUUUACGCGCCCCACCGAGAUUUUCUCGGUAGCUCGCCGGUUCAAUCCAGGCCUGCAUACCAGGCUGGUGUCACCACAGAUAUAUACAAUAAUUAUUUAUUAAGUACCAGAGUUGUACCAUUGUAGUUCAUCGUACAGUCACCUUGAGCGUUAGCAUCGAAAAGUAGAAGGUUGCAUUAUGCAUGCACUGUCUAGCCGCUUGGUUUGAAAACAAUUGUUAUCAACGAUUUUAUCAUUUAACGUAUAAUACUUGUCUAUGACAUAUUUUACCUUUAGUGUUUAUUGUUUACUGGCAAUUUAUUUUGAAUUUUCUCACUCUCGUCUAGUAUUUUUUAUGUUAUUUGUACAUUUAUAACUGCCAAAUAACUUGUACGAUAUACAUCAUUUUUAAAAGUGAUAUCGUUGUUUUUGUCAGACAUUAACAGAAGUGUCCGUGAACAUAAAUGUGUUAUUAAAGACUGUACUGUCAAAAGUAAGUUUAUGAAGAAAUAAUGCCAUCAACAACAAGAUCGAAAACCCUCAAUAGACGUACCACAGAUAAAGAAAAUCAUUAUACUUGCAAUGCCUGUGGCAAAUCAUUUACCAAAAAAUAUAAAAUUGCUAUCCAUUGUCAAUUGCAUUUCGGUGAAAAUCCAUGUCGGAAUAAGGUUUGUG
rnacentral:lncRNA from 1 species